CAAAUAAAUAAAAACUUUCUGAUACUAUUCUAAAUGAAAUUCUUUACUUAUUUUUCAACUAAUGAAACAUUAACACUUUAACAUGGAUUACCUUUCCUUAAUAAGAAAAAUAUAAUCAAACACACAAGAAAUAUAUGAUGCAAAUAACAUUAAAUAAAUGUCAUUAGUUUUUAAGCAACAAUAUAUGCAUCAAUGUAGUAUGUAUUUAAAUUCUUGAAUCGAUUAUAUGCUCGUGUCAAUUAAAUACUUGCUCAUAAUAAUUCCUAAAAUGUUUCUGAUAUUUUUUUGAAAACAUUUCUGAAGAUCCUAUAUAUACACAAAGACAGUUAACAAUGAAAUGCAUCUUUCUAAUAGAUUCUGACAACUUCUAGGAAGAUAGAUUUUACAAACAACCAAAUAAUUAUUUUAAAACACAAAGGGUUUGGGACAAGGUGCAGCUAUUAAACAUUUUUCAUUAACCUACAGUUGCUUGAUCCUCAUUUUUAACACAUGGAUCUUUAAUGUUUUUGUGGUUCUUACAUGACUAAUAGAUGUAAUAUUACACCUGGGUUUUAAAACAUAUCAUUUUUUGCAUGACUGAAGAACUUGGAACACUUUUACUAUCAACUAGGUAUAUAAGCAUUCCUUUUUCUUACAUGAGUUUUUUGCCGUCAUGGUUUCUGUAACAGACAGCUGUUACAUUCUGAACUGCUAGCAGGUUAUUGAUAUCCAUAAGCAAGAGCUGAAUAAUCAGUUUUAUACACUUGCCAAAUCACUGAGAAACUGCCUCACUUUCCUUCUGCAAUAAGAAGCUCUCUGAAACUUAAAAAUGUUAACUACAUUUCCUUUAUUUGAAUCAGUUCUCCAAAUUAUCACUUAUCUCAUCUUUCAUUUAAUGAAGAAUAACUUUGCAACAAAUAUCAUCUGGGUGCUACAUGAAACUAGUCGUUAUGAAUUUUGUAUUAUGAAUUAUAUAAUGCUAUUAUAUAUUUAUUAUUAUAAAUUUUAUAACCAUAUUACACACUGUAUAAUUAUGAAUUAUAUAAUUUUAUUAUGCAUUUAGUAUAUAUAUUUAUUAUGGCUAUCAUGAAUUGUGGGAUGGCGCAGUGGCUCAGCGGAUAAGUACCAUGCAACAGGGUGGGGUCCCAUCUUCACCCCGUUUCCUGCCCACCUAGCAGUUCAAAAAAAUGCAAAUACAAGUAGAUAAGUAGGUACCACUACAGUGGGAAGGUUAACAGCUCUCCAUGACAUCAUGCUGGACAUACGAGGGCAGAAAUGUCUUCAGACAGUGUUGGCUCAAUAUCCUUGAAAUGAAGAUAAGUGCUGCCCCCUAUAGUCAGCAAUGACUAGCAGAAUAAAAUCCACAGGGACUCCUUUACCUUUUUUACCUAUCAUGAAUUGUAUUAUGAAUUGUAUAGAUCGUCGGCUACAAAAUCCAUUUGGAAGCUGAAAAAUAGUUAUACCUUGCUUUAUUGUUAUGUUCACAUAUUUCCUGAAGAAUCUGAAUCUCCAAGCCUUAGUGUUUUAUACCACACAUACUAAAUUUUAUUGAUUCAUACUUUAUAAAUUUCAAUAUUGUCAUAAGUACCGGUAUGUCACUGAGUUCUAGUUUCUUUUCAUAACACAACAGCUAAAAUAUUGGAAAGAAGUGAUUAACAUGAUACAGGAAAUUAGAGAUAUUUAUACUUCAAAUCAACUUAUGUCAGUCAAGCUUUUAAACCUUCUGAAUUAUUACAAGAGAAAUGUAAAUUGUCUAAAAUUGUAAAAUGGCAAUAUAUUCAAUUAAAGCAUAUUCUGAUUUCAUUAGUCCAGCAACAUUAACAACACUUGCAAGUUGCAAAUUACUAUCAGACUGGAAUAUGUUUGAAUUCAUAUAAACAAUUAUAAGAAUAUUAUUUAACUUUUAGAACAAUUACUUGCCAGAACUCUGGAAUAAACAGUUGUAAUAUUCCAUAGCAACAAAUCAAAAGCUAAGAGUAUCUUACAAUUUUAAGGUAAACAAUUCAACUAUGUUUACUGGAAACUUUAGGGAAGUUUUAAAAAAGGAGUGCUGGGAGUUUAAAAUGGUUAAGGAUGAACCCUGCUAUUGAUGAGGGUGCUCUGUAUGUGAUUAUUGUUUAUCCUUGGGUGGCGUUCUUGGCCAUUGCACUGAUAAUGUAACCCAGUCAGGUAAUAAAACAUCUGUAAAUGAAUAACCCAGCUCAAUGAGUACCAAGGACUCCACAAGUCAUUCCUGAACUACCAAUAACCUUGGGUGUUUGGGGUUUUAUGUUGUGGGUUUUUAUGUGUUUUUAAUCCUUGUAAGAUGCCAAAGUCAUUUAGAACGUCUUGCCCCCAGAGAUCCAAAACACCACUCCUUAAUGUUUUGGAAGCUGUCAAGACCAGAAUCUUCUGUAAAGGCUUGCAAAGGUCAUACACAUGGAGGACUAAUAACAAUAUCACUAUUUCAUCAUUAUCAUAACUGCAAAUGUUUGUUAAAUAAGUCAGCAGCUAAAUGAAGACUAUCUGCAAUGGAAUAAACACAAAUGGACACACAAGUAUACAUAGAUACAAAGAAUAUGUAUUUUAUGUUAUAUUCAUGAAAAAGAUGCUACUAUGUGUUAAAAGUGACAAUGAUUUGUCAGCUUACUACUAUUCCAUAGCUGAUGGUACAUUUUACUAUUACAGCAUUUCAAAGAACAUCAUCUGAGUGGGAAGGGAUCUUGAAGGUCUUAUCUAACCUCUUAUUCAAGCAGGAGACCCUAUUCCAUUUCAGACAAAUGGCUAUCCAGUCUCUUCUUAAAAGCCUCCAAUGAUGGAAUACUCACAACUUCAAAAGGCAAACCGUUCCAUUGGUUGAUUGCUUUAACUUUUUUUCCUCCUUAGUUCUAGGUUGCUUCUCUCCUUGGUUAGUUUCCAUCCAUUGCUUCUUGUCUUGUCUUCUGGUGCUUUGGAAAAUAAGUUUUCCCUCUCUUCUUUCUGCCAGCCCCUCAA